GAGUUUGAUCGUGGCUCAGAUUGAACGCUGGCGGCAGGCCUAACACAUGCAAGUCGAGCGGUAGAGAGAAGCUUGCUUCUCUUGAGAGCGGCGGACGGGUGAGUAAUGCCUAGGAAUCUGCCUGGUAGUGGGGGAUAACGCUCGGAAACGGACGCUAAUACCGCAUACGUCCUACGGGAGAAAGCAGGGGACCUUCGGGCCUUGCGCUAUCAGAUGAGCCUAGGUCGGAUUAGCUAGUUGGUGAGGUAAUGGCUCACCAAGGCGACGAUCCGUAACUGGUCUGAGAGGAUGAUCAGUCACACUGGAACUGAGACACGGUCCAGACUCCUACGGGAGGCAGCAGUGGGGAAGUAUUGGACAAUGGGCGAAAGCCUGAUCCAGCCAUGCCGCGUGUGUGAAGAAGGUCUUCGG
rnacentral:rRNA from 1 species